CCUACGGGAGGCAGCAGUCGAGAAUCAUUCACAAUGGGGGAAACCCUGAUGGUGCGACGCCGCGUGGGGGAAUGAAGGUCUUCGGAUUGUAAACCCCUGUCAUGUGGGAGCAAAUUAAAAAGAUAGUACCACAAGAGGAAGAGCCGGCUAACUCUGUGCCAGCAGCCGCGGUAAUACAGAGGUCUCAAGCGUUGUUGGGAAUCACUGGGCGUAAAGCGUAGGUAGGCUGUUUCGUAAGUCGUGUGUGAAAGGCGCGGGCUCAACCCGCGGACGGCACAUGAUACUGCGAGACUAGAGUGAUGGAGGGGGGACCGGAAUUCUCGGUGUAGCAGUGAAAUGCGUAGAUAUCGAGAGGAACACUCGUGGCGAAGGCGGGUGCCUGGACAGUAACUGACGCUGAGGCACGAAGGCCAGGGGAGCGAAAGGGAUUAGAUACCCGAGUAGUC
rnacentral:rRNA from 1 species